rnacentral:rRNA from 1 species
UACAGGGGAUGCAAGUGUUAUCCGGAAUCAUUGGGCGUAAAGCGUCUGCAGGUGGACUUUUAAGUCUUUUGUUAAACCUCCGGGCUUAACCUGGAAUCUGCAAAGGAAACUAUUUGUCUUGAGUAUGGUAGAGGUAAAGGGAAUUUCCAGUGGAGCGGUGAAAUGCUUAGAUAUUGGAAAGAACACCAAGGGCGAAGGCACUUUACUGGGCCAGUACUGACACUGAGAGACGAAAGCUAGGGGAGCAAACGGG